UUGCCAGACUCCUACGGGAGGCAGCAGUGAGGAAUAUUGGUCAAUGGCCGGAAGGCUGAACCAGCCAAGCCGCGUGAAGGACGAAGGUGCCAAGCAUUGUAAACUUCUUUUGUCAAGGGACAAAAUCAGGCUCGAGAGCCUGACCGAGGGUACUUGAAGAAAAAGCAUCGGCUAACUCCGUGCCAGCAGCCGCGGUAAUACGGAGGAUGCGAGCGUUAUCCGGAUUUAUUGGGUUUAAAGGGUGCGUAGGCGGCAUUAUAAGUUAGUGGUAAAAUAUUGGGGCUUCACCUCACUACGCCAUUAAUACUGUAGAGCUAGAGAACAGACGAGGUAGGCGGAAUAAGUUAAGUAGCGGUGAAAUGCAUAGAUAUAACUUAGAACACCGAUAGCGAAGGCAGCUUACCAGACUGAGUCUGACGCUGAUGCACGAGAGCAUGGGUAGCGAACAGGAUUAGAUACCCCUGUAU
rnacentral:rRNA from 1 species